rnacentral:misc_RNA from 1 species
AACGCAUCUUGCACUCUUGGGUUAUUCCUGAGAGUAUGCUUGUUUGAGUGUCACUUAACUCUCAACCCCGCCUUGCUUUAUUGUGAGGUAGUUUGGGCUUGGAUCAUGAUGCUUGUCUCGUUUUUGAAACAAGACUGCAUUGAAAGACAACAAGCUGAAUCAACAAACUUGCGGCUUGACCUAUUGUUGUAGUAAAAUUAAUUUCAAUAGGAACGCAUUAAAGUUGAACGAGCUUCUCUUUAAGAGAAACACAAAUUUAAUUUAAUUUGACCUCAAAUCAAGUAGGACUACCCGCUGAACUUAA